CUUGAGAUUGAACCCUCAGACACUAUAGAAAAUGUAAAGGCCAAGAUCCAGAAUAAGAAAGGAAUUCCUCCUGAUCAGCAGAGGUUGAUCUGUGCUGGCAAGCAGCUGGAAGAUGGCCAUACUUUGACUACAACAUUCAAAAGGAGUCUACCCUUCAUCUUGUGUUGAGACUUCGUGGUGGUAGGAAAAGGGAGAAAUUUUACACAACUCCCAAGAAAAAUAAGCAUAUGAGGAAGAAGGUUAAGUUGGCUGUGCUGAAAUACUAUAAGGUGGAUGAAAAUGACAAAAUUAGCCAACUUCAUCGAGAGUGUCCUUCUGAUGAAUGUGGUCCUGGAGUUUUCAUGGGUAGCCACUUUGACAGGCAUUACUGUGGCAAGUGUUGUCUGACUUACUGCUUCAACAAACCAGAAGA
rnacentral:lncRNA from 1 species